rnacentral:rRNA from 1 species
AACACGUGGACAACCUACCCUCCGGACGGGUAUAAACCCGGGAAACUGGGUAUAAUCCCCGAUAGAUCUCGGUCGCUGGAAUGCCCCGAGAUCGAAAGCUCCGGCGCCAGAGGAUGGGUCUGCGGCCUAUCAGGUAGUAGUGGGUGUAGCGUACCUACUAGCCUACGACGGGUACGGGUUGUGAGAGCAAGAGCCCGGAGAUGGAUUCUGAGACACGAAUCCAGGCCCUACGGGGUGCAGCAGGCGCGAAAACUUUACAAUGCCGGCAACGGCGAUAAGGGGACCUCGAGUGCCAGGUUACAAAUCUGGCUGUCGUGAUGCCUAAAAAGCAUUGCAUAGCAAGGGCCGGGCAAGACCGGUGCCAGCCGCCGCGGUAACACCGGCGGCUCGAGUGGUAACCGUUAUUAUUGGGUCUAAAGGGUCUGUAGCCGGCCGGAUAAGUCUCUUGAGAAAUCCAGCAGCUCAACUGUUGGGCUUUCAGGAGAUACUGUUCGGCUCGAGGCCGGGAGAGGUGAGAGGUACUUCAGGGGUAGGGGUGAAAUCUUGUAAUCCUUGAAGGACCACCAGUGGCGAAGGCGUCUCACCAGAACGGACCUGACGGCAAGGGACGAAAGCUAGGGGCACGAACCGG